ensembl:lncRNA
UCGUGUGUCCCCGUGUCCGUGUGUCCCUGUGUCCCCGUGUCUGUCUGUCCCCGUGCCUGUGUCCCCAUGUCCGUGUGUCCCUGUCCUCAUGUGUCCGUCUGUCCCCAUGUCUGUGUCCCCAUGUCCCUGUAUCCGUGUGUCCCUGUGUCCGUGUGUCUGUGUCUAUGUGUCCAUGUGCCCGUGUGUCCGUGUGUCCCUGUGUCUACGUCCCCAUGUCCGUGCGUAUGUGUCCGUGUGUCCCCGUGUGUCCCCAUGUCUGUAUAUCAGAGUCCCCGUGUGUCCGUGUGUCCCUGUGUCCGUGUGUCCCCGUGGGCCACUACUGGGGCACCACUGUGGCACAAAUGACGCUGCCAUGGCACUAUGGGGGCACAAUGGUUGCACUUAUGGGGGCACUAUUGUGUCACAAAUGUCACUGUGGUGACGCACAUUGCACCAUGGUGGCACAAGUGACAGUAUGGGGGCACUGUGUUGGCACUAUGGGGGCACUGUUGUGUCACUGUCAAGGCACAAAUGUCACCGUGGUGGCACGACUGUGGCACAGAUUGCACCACUGUGGCACAAAGGGCACUACGGUGGCACUAUGGGAGCACUAUGGUGGCACUAUGGGGGCACUGUUGCAUCACCAAUGGCACCAUGGUGGCACAUGGAGCACUGUGGUGGCACCGUGGUGGCACCAAUGCUGGUGACGUGGCACGACGUGGCACUAGGGUGGCUCUGUGGUGGCAGCGAUUUGCAGACAGCACCGGGCGUCCCUCCUUCUCCCUCCCACCCUUCUCUCCUCCCUCCUUCUCCCCCAUCCUCCUCCUCCCUCCCUCCUUCUUUCCUCCAUCCUUCUCUCCCUUCUCCCUCCCCCUCCCCUUCUAUCCCCUCCCUUCUCCCUCCUGUCUUCCCCCCACCAUUCUCCCUCCAUCCUUCUCUCCCCCAUCCUCCUCCCUCCCACCAUUCUCUCCUCCCUCCUUCUCCCCCAUCCUCCUCCCCCAACCCUUCCUCCCACCCUUCUUCCUUCCUUCCCUCCUUCUCCUUCCCUCCCUCCUUCUCCCUCUCUCCACCCUUCUCCCUCCCUCCUUCUUUGCCUCCUGUUCUUCCCCUACCCUUCUCCUUCCCUCCUUCUCCCUCCUGUCCUCUUCCCACCCUUCUCUCUCUCCUGUCCUCCCCCUCCCCUUCUAUCCCCUGCCUUCUCUCUCCUUCCUCCUCCCCCACCCUUCUCUCCCCCAUCCUCCUCCGUCCCACCCUUCUCCCUCCCUUCAUUUCCCUCCCACCCUCCUCCCUCCUUCUCCCUCCUGUCCUCCCCCCACUGUUCUCCUUCCAUACUUCUCCCUCCCUCAUUCCCUCCCUCCUUCUUUCCUCCUUCUCUCUCCCUCCUGUCCUCCCCCCAUCCUUCUCUCUCCCUCCUGUCCUCCCCCCAUCCUUCUCUCUCUCUCCUGUCCUCCCCCUCCCCUUCUAUCCCCUUCCUUCUCCCUCCCUCCUCCUCCCCCACCCUUCUCUCCUCCAUCCUUCUCCCUCCCACCCUUUUUCCUCCCUCCUUCUCCCCUCCCACACUUCUCCCUCUCACAUUCUCCCUCCAAUCCUUCCCUCAUCCCUCCUUCUCCUCCACCCUUCUCCUUCCCUCCCUUCUCCCUCCUGUCCUCCCCCCACCAUUCCCCCCCAUCUUUUUCCAUCCUUCUCUCCUCCACUCUUCUCCUUCCCACCCUUCUCUCCUCCAUCCUUCUCCCCCAUCCUCCUCCCCCAACCAUUCUCUCUCCCACCCUUCUUCCUCCUUCUCCCUCCCUCCUCCCUCCCUCCUCCUCCUUCCCUGCCUCCUUCUCCCUCUCUCCUUCCUCCUCCUUCUCCCCCUCUCCUUCUUUCCUCCAUCCUUCUCUGCCUCCUGUUCUUCCCCUACCCUUCUCCUUCCCUUCUUCUCCCUCCUGUCCUCCCCCAUCCUUCUCUCUCUCCUUCCUCCUCCCCCCACCCUUCUCUCCCCCAUCCACCUCCCUCCCACCCUUCUCCCUCCCUUCAUUUCCCUCCCACCCUUCUUCUUCCUUCUCCCUCUCUCCUUCCUCCCUCCUUCUCCCUCCUAUCCUCCCCCCACUGUUCUCCCUCCAUACUUCUCCCUCUCUCCUUCCCUCCUUCUUUCCUCCCCCCUUCUCCCUCCUGUCCUCCCCCCAUCCUUCUCUCUCUCCCCUGUCCUCCCCCUCCCCUUCUAUCCCCUGCCUUCUCCCUCCCUCCUCCUCCCCCACCCUUCUCUCCUCCAUCCUUCUCCCUCCCUCCCUUUUUCCUCCCUCCUUCUCCCCUCCCACACUUCUCCCUCUCGCAUUCUCCCUCCCAUCCUUCCCUCNNNNNNNNNNNNNNNNNNNNNNNNNNNNNNNNNNNNNNNNNNNNNNNNNNNNN